GGGAGUGUAGCUCAGUGGUAGAGAACUUGCUUUGCAUGCAUGGAUCUCUGGGUUCACUCUCCAGUACCACUA
rnacentral:tRNA from 1 species